GUCCUGCCUUUCCCUGACUGGGCAACAAGUCAACAAGAACAAAGGUCUGGGGAGCCGACCAGGGCAAGGCCGGCCCGGGCCUCUCGGGGUCUCAAUCCCUCGGCCUGUGUGUGUGCCAGAGCUUCCCACAGAUUUGGGAAGAAGGUGCCGGAGGCUGGCCGGGCGGCCUUGCGGUUUGAAGCAGUGAGUCACCUUCUGGCUGCAAGUCAAGGAACUCUCACUGCGCCCUUGUUUGGACAAGACGGGGAGGCGCACUCAGAGUCAGAGACUCCGGGAGCAGAGACAGGAGCAGGAAGAAGGGGUCACCGAGACCUCAAGAAAGUCAGGGACACAGACGCCCAAACGACCGAGACAACCAGGGACAGAUUAUCCAAUCCCAUUUCUGGAAGACACUCUGACUGUGAAGCAAAAGAACUCUACGCCUGGCACUGGAAGGCUGAUUCUCUGUGAAGGUGGAGGACCACCUGACUGGUCUGGAAGACUGACUGUCCAUACUCUUCUUCCAGGAUCUGGACUUGACAUCGCUGGCUCAAAAAGAUUGACUCUCUAGGGAUCUGAAGGGCCUCUCUAGCUGACAUGCUGUAAUACCAUAUUUCACAAGUGCUCUCUUGACCCAGUUUUGAGAUCCUGGCUAAAACCUCUCGACUCCUCUUUGUCACUUUGCUCAGACUAUACCUUAACUCCUCCAAACUCUUGGCGUGGAGGUGUCUGUGCCCCUGUAUCUAGAUGACUCUUUGGAAUAAUCUUCAUUCCUGGCUUCUGGAGUAGGAGGGGGAAAUGUGGAUGGGUUGGAGGGAUAGGAAGAUAAGAGGAAGCAUGGAACGGUUGCUGUGACAUCUGUUCUGAUCAGCAACCUGAGCUAGAUUUGAGUUCUAUGGUCACAGGUUGGAGGCCAGAAUUGUUCAAAUUUCAUUUACAUGAGCAGCUCGGUGAGGUUCUGGGUUCAACAGGGAGAACUAAUUUUGGUUCUGCAGUGCAUGAGGCCAAGAGUUGGGGAAAUGGAGACUGUUCUCCCCAUGGAGAGCUGUUGACCCCAGCAUAGUUCAUGGAGCCUGAAGGUGAGGCAUCCUGGCCAAGAUGUGCAGAAUGAUGGACCCUGGCCAAACCACUUUUUGGACAGAAACAUGGACAAGUAGAAUCGGGGCAAAAAAGAGGGCACAUGACGAAAUUCCCAUGAGGUCUGAAGCCAGGGCUAUUCAAAGGCCUUUCUUACUGAACCAAUCGCCCAUACCCCAUCCCAGGCCUUCUCCAUUCCUCCUGGAAUCACCAGCGCUGAAGUUUAAAAAUUACAUUUCCCCGACAUCCUUCGAGUUGGAUUUCCACUGGGUUCUGGCAAUGGAAUGUAUCCAUGCGAGAUCCUGGAACUCCUAUCAGACAGAGUCCAAGCUCCUAACUUUUAUCAAUGGCGAUGGCAAUAGUCGAGCAGCAUUGAUGGGGAGUACAGACUUGUGAGCCCAAAAUGACACCACAUUCCUUUUUCACUGGUACUUCCAACAUUUUUAUGACCAAUUCCUUAAAUUAAAUCAUUUUGUCUGAAGUACCUAGAGUGGUUUCUGUUUACCUGACACUUAUCAAAGAUUCGAGAGUACCUACUAUGUGCCAGAUGUUCUAAGAACUAGGAGUAGCAGACUGAACAAGAGCGGAAUAGUGGAUGGGGUCAGAGAGGCUGGGCAGGAGCAAAGCCAUACAGGGCCUUUUAAGCCAUAGGAAGAAGUUUGAGUUUCAGUCUGAUUUCAAUGAUAAGAGCAUCUUAUUCAGGGAAGGGAAGGUAUGUGAUUUAUGACUUGAGCUCUGUGACAGAUGAAGUCUAGCAGGCUGUAAUAGAAAGGAGGGAUAGAGGCGGCUAGUUGAAGACUUCAAGCUGGAGAUGACAAACUGAAGCUGGGGGUGGGGGGCUUACUGUUAUAACAUUAGGGUCCGACGAUGGUAGGAUGAACUCACUGACCUCUGAUGAGAUGAAAAGCAGAACUCUAUUACUUAUAGCAUCAAGUGGGAGAAAGCUGCCAUGCAGGGCCAUGUAGGGCGUUACACCCUGGGACAGGGGAACAGAAAGCUAGAAUGUAGGAGGUAGUUUCUGUCUGGCAAGUGGAGUGGGGUUAGCAGGUCUAGGGGCUUCUUGUGGUUUGGGAAUUUUGAGUGAUUUCACAGACCCAAGGAAGAAGGGUUCAUCCCUUGAUGUAUAGCAAAGAAUCCCUGGGAGUUGGGUGUAUUGUUGUAACCCAGGAGGAGCCCAGUAAGGAAAGGGGUUGGGGUGCAGACUCAGCAAAGUGCCCACUAAGAGGAAUUGAGAGUGUUUAGCCCAGAUCUCAAAAUUGGGUCAAGAGAGCACUUGUGAAAUACGGCAUAACAGCAUGCCAGCUAGAGAGCAGUGGGCAUGAUCAGGAUCUGCUUUAGAGGUAGAGCUGAUGGGACUUCCGAUGGAUUGGACAUGAGAGAAAGAGGAAUCUUGACCAUGGACUUCCAGAAUCAGAGGCCUCUGAUUUUGAGACCGUACCUCUCAUCAGAUACAAAUAAAGAUGUUUGAUAACAUUUUUAAAACUUAUUCAAAUAAACGAAGGGCUAACAAGAUAGUAAAAAACAACCAGGGCUAGUUAGAAGGAAAUAUAUAAGAACCCAGAGAGGAAAACAUCACAGAAGCCACUUUUGCCCUGAGAACACUGACCAAGAAUAAUAAAGAACAGGUGCAAACAAACAAUAUCAAAAAUAAAGGGCAGGCGCAUCAUCACCGAUACUUCAGACAUCAGAAAGAAGAGAACGUGAUGAAAACUGCAUGCCAAUACAUUCGAAAUUUUAGGCAGGGCGCGGUGGCUCACGCCUAUAAUUCCAGCACUUUGGGAGGCUGAGGCGGGUGGAUCACGAGGUCAAGAGAUCGAGACCAUCCUGGUCAACAAGAUGAAACCCCGUCUCUACUAAAAAUACAAAAAAUUAGCUGGGCAUGGUGGUGCGCGCCUGUAGUCCCAGCUAUUCAGGACACUGAGGCAGGAGAAUUGCCUGAACCCAGGAGGCGGAGGUUGCGGUGAGCCGAGAUCGUGCCAUUGCACUCCAGUCUGGGUAACAACAGCCAAACUCCGUCUCAAAAAAAAAAAAAAAAAAGAAAUUUUAAAUGAAAUAGAUAAAUCCUGAGAAAAAGAUAGGUUACUAAUACUGACUUGAGUUUAAAAAAAAAAAAAAACGCUUCAACCACUUUGGAAAAGAGCUUGGCUUUUUCUAGGAAAGCUGAAAACUUUCUGUGACCAGCCAUUAUAGUCCUAAGUAUAUACCUUAAACAAAUUCAGGCAUAUGUGUUUCCAUUAAAAUGUGUAGGAAUAUUUUUAGAAGUACGGAAGCACUGGGGCUGGGCACAGUGGCUCACGCCUGUCCCAGCACUUUGGGAGACCAGGGCAGGCAGAUCAUUUGAGGUCAGGAGGUCAUGACCAGCCUGGGCAACAUGGUGAAACUGUCUCUACUAAAAAUACAAAAUUUAGUAGGGCAUGGUGGAGCCCACCUGUAAUCCCAGCUACCUCGGAAGCUGAGUCAGGAGAAUCGCCUGAACCCGGGAGGCGAACGUCGCAGUGAGCCGAGAUCGCCACUGCACUCCAGCCUGGGCAACAGAGGGAGACUCCAUCUCAAAAUAGUAAUAAUAAUAAUAGCUGGAAAUUGGAACAACAUAAAUAUCCAUUAAGAGUAGAAUGUGGCAUACUACAUAGUAUAGUGAAGUAAUAUGCAACGAUGAAAAUGUAUGAAGUACAGUUACACAUAACAGGAUGAGAAUUACAAGGAUAAUAUUGAAAGAUGUAAAAAAUAAGUAUUCUGUGAUUCCAUAAAUACAAAGUUCAAAUAUAUAUGUAUACGUAUAUAGGCAAAACACACACACACACACACACACACACACACACACAUAUAUAUAUAUAUAUAUAUAUGAUUUAUGAGAAGUUUUUGAGUUCUGGCAAUGUUAUUUCUUGACCUGAAUGGUAGUUACAUGAGCAUUUAUCUUUACUUGUUAAAUUAUGCAUUUAUUUUCAUAACUUUCUGUAUAUAAUUUCUGUUUUACGAUAUAAAAAGUGUUCCAAAGAAUGAUUAAAAGAAUGGAGCUAGGCAACUGGAUGAAUAAUGGUGCCAAUUUCUGAUUUGGAGAGAGUUUCAAAAAAGGAGUGGGAAGUGGAAAGAUGGAGAAUCCAUAAAUGAGAGAUUCAUUCUUGCCAUAUAAAUUCUGGCAUGCCUGUUGGACAUUCAAGAAAAGAUCUCAAGCCUGUAAUCGAGGAUUGAGUCUCAGAGGAGAGGCCCCAAAUCUCCGUCUCAACUGACUGGAAGGAGAUAUUUACAACAGAUAUAGCUGGCAAACAGCUUACAACCAGAAUAUAUAAGGAACUCCUGCAAAUGAGUAAGAAAAAGACAACUUUGUAGAAAAUUGGGCAAGAGACUUGAGCACACUAAGUUUUAAUGUAAGAAAUUACACAACGGGGCCAUUGUAUAGGAAUGAAGUAAAACCCAGUAGCUUGGAAUCCCCCUCAUUGAGUCAAGAGACUGGUCAUUUCAAGGAAAGGAUCUAGGAUGCAAGAAAUCAAAACAUGUAUUUUUGGUUAAAUCUCGGGCAAACAGCGAGAGUCUAGAAAGUACCAGUGACAUGACUGAUAGAAUCUCACCACAUGAUGGAAGCCAACCCGUCAAAAGCCUGGGAAGCCCUCCCAGCCUGGGGCCUCUGUUGGUCCAGGAUCUUGGACUGGUGUCCCAUGGCUUAAUCUUCGGGAUUCAACCAAAUAAAUUUACCCCACCCAUGUCGUGGACCCAAGCAUCCUACCAAGUAGCCUUAGCUUAAAUGCAAGAUAAUACUACUUUGUUCAUCUUGACUGGAGUGAGAAAUGAAUACCUCCAUGCACAUAUAUUUCUUUUACCACAACAAGAUGAUGAAGAAAUAAAUGCAUAAUAUUGAUACUUUUGUAUAAGUCAUGUUUACAGGUGCAGUAAGAAAUUUUAUAAUCGUUAAUUUGCUUUAUAUAGUUUCUGCUUGCUUUUUAUAAUAUUUAAAACAAAAUCUAAGCAACAAAUUAUAUGUGUGAUUAGAUUUACAGAAGUUGCUUAAGUGCUUAGGAAUAAUUUGUUCAUCAUAUUUGUAAGUCUCCCUUGUUAGGUGUUUGAAGUGUUUGAAUCAGCUAAAUUAAAUUUGUAAUUGUAGUUUGAAAUAUCUAAAGGAAUUUGCUUAAUUAAAUGUUUAUAUUAAAAGUUUAUGAGAAUUUAAUCUAUCAGAUUUAACAGUUAAUUGAAUAUGAAUCAAUGAACAAGUAAAUGUGAUCUUGCUUUUAUAAGAAAAAAGCUACUAAGUUCAUAAAUAAAAUAUAAAGAUCCAUAAGUUGAGAGGAAAAG